GCUUUAUAAAGAAUAUUUCCAUGAAAUAUUGGAUGUGAAAUACCUGAACGUAUAAGAAGUCUGCAUGUUGAGCUAUAUUUCCGAAUGAUGUCCUUAUACCGAUGCUAAAAUUUAGUAAAUGUUUUGACUAGUUUGUGAUAUCGAAAACCCUGGUGUAAUAAUUUUUCAGUAAUACAUAAAUUUCUCUCGUUAAAAUCUAAAACAAUGUUACAUACACUAGCGAAUCGUACAAGUACUAAACUUGACCCUCAGGGCAAUGGCUUCUUCUAGGAGUCGACUGACGAAUUUGCCACUGUUAAAUUAUUAGUAGAUUUUGUGGGUAUAGGCCAACCAGGAAUUCAAACGUACAAUGAAUAACAUAUUUUC
rnacentral:lncRNA from 1 species